AACGAACGCUGGCGGCAUACCUAACACAUGCAAGUCGAACGAGACCUUCGGGUCUUGUGGCGCACGGGUGCGUAACGCGUGGGAACCUGCCCUUAGGUUCGGAAUACCUCCCCGAAAGGGGUGCUAAUACCGGAUAAUGUCUUCGGACCAAAGAUUUAUCGCCUUUGGAUGGGCCCGCGUUGGAUUAGCUAGUUGGUAGGGUAAAAGCCUACCAAGGCGACGAUCCAUAGCUGGUCUGAGAGGAUGAUCAGCCACACUGGGACUGAGACACGGCCCAGACUCCUACGGGAGGCAGCAGUGGGGAAUAUUGGACAAUGGGCGAAGGCCUGAUCCAGCAAGGCCGCGUGAGUGAUGAAGGCCUUAGGGUUGUAAAGCUCUUUUACCCGGGAUGAUAAUGACAGUACCGGGAGAAUAAGCUCCGGCUAACUCCGUG
rnacentral:rRNA from 1 species